rnacentral:tRNA from 1 species
AGGGGCACGGCUCAGGGUGAGAGUAUCUGCCUUGAUAGUGCAAAGUCUUGGGUUCAAAUCCCAAUAUUCCCC